AGCGAACGCUGGCGGCAGGCCUAACACAUGCAAGUCGAACGAACCUUUCGGGGUUAGUGGCGGACGGGUGAGUAACACGUGGGAACGUGCCUUUAGGUUCGGAAUAACUCAGGGAAACUUGUGCUAAUACCGAAUGUGCCCUUCGGGGGAAAGAUUUAUCGCCUUUAGAGCGGCCCGCGUCUGAUUAGCUAGUUGGUUGAGGUAAUGGCACACCAAGGCGACGAUCAGUAGCUGGUCUGAGAGGAUGAUCAGCCACAUUGGGACUGAGACACGGCCCAAACUCCUACGGGAGGCAGAAGUGGGGAAUCUUGCGCAAUGGGCGAAAGCCUGACGCAGCCAUGCCGCGUGAAUGAUGAAGGUCUUAGGAUUGUAAAAUUCUUUCACCGGGGACGAUAAUGACGGUACCCGGAGAAGAAGCCCCGGCUAACUUCGUG
rnacentral:rRNA from 1 species